GAUGAACGCUGGCGGCGUGCCUAAUACAUGCAAGUCGAGCGAACGGACGAGAAGCUUGCUGCUCUGAUGUUAGCGGCGGACGGGUGAGUAACACGUGGAUAACCUACCUAUAAGACUGGGAUAACUUCGGGAAACCGGAGCUAAUACCGGAUAAUAUUUUGAACCGCAUGGUUCAAAAGUGAAAGACGGUCUUGCUGUCACUUAUAGAUGGAUCCGCGCUGCAUUAGCUAGUUGGUAAGGUAACGGCUUACCAAGGCAACGAUGCAUAGCCGACCUGAGAGGGUGAUCGGCCACACUGGAACUGAGACACGGUCCAGACUCCUACGGGAGGCAGCAGUAGGGAAUCUUCCGAAAUGGGCGAAAGCCUGACGGAGCAACGCAGCGUGAGUGAUGAAGGUCUUCGGAUCGUAAAACUCUGUUAUUAGGGAAGAACAUAUGUGUAAGUAACUGUGCACAUCUUGACGGUACCUAAUCAGAAAGCCACGGCUAAUUACGU
rnacentral:rRNA from 1 species